CAGACUUUUUGAUUUUAUGGACGCAGAUUAUAUAGGUUCACCAGGGUGUUUCUCAAAGUUUUAGACAAAGAAUGAAAAAAAAUAGCAGAGUUACAUUGUAGUCUAGGUAGAAAAAAGUCUAAAAAUCUAUCCAGUUCAACUGUGAAAUCCAUUAUUUUAUGCUGAAGGUAUCUUGGAUCAACAACAUGUUUACGUACAUAUUAAUUAAAUCCUUGCAUAUUGUGUUUUUGCAAAAAAAAAUCUAAGCUAUUUUAAAAAAUAUCUAGAGCAUCUGAUAAGACAACAGCUUUAGGCAGAGAAAUCCACAUAUUUAUUGUUCCUACUGUAAAGAACCCUUUCUUCUACUGUAAGUGAAAACACCUUUCUUCCAGUCUCAAUGGGUGAUCUCUUGAUCUUGAUCUCCUGCUAAUAAACAUGUUAGCACAUAGCUGUUUAUAAUGACUUUGCAUAGUGCUCUCCUACCCCUUCUGAGAUGCCAUUUUCUCUCAAGAAACAAAUUCAGUUUUUCUAGCCAUUCUUCAUACCUAAUGUUUUCCAUCCCCCUUAUUUAUUUUGUAGUUCGCCUAUGAACUUUUCUUAGUUCUGCAAUAUCCUUCUUUAGAACUGGU